rnacentral:sRNA from 1 species
CUAACAAAGAAGCUGAAGAUGAAGAUGAAGAAGAAGAAGAUGAUUCUGAUGAUGAUGAAGAUGAAGAAGAUGAAGAAGAAGAAGAAGAAGAAGAAGAAGAAGAAUAUU